CCACAGCUCACGGCAAUGUCGGGUCCUUAACCCACUGAGCAAGGCCGGUCAUCGAACCUGCGUCUUCAUGGAUACUAGUUAGGUUCAUUACUGCUGAGCAACAAAGGGAAUUCCAUCUAUUCUGUGUUCUUAGUUUAUAGUCAACAUGCAGUUUUUUUAGUGAAUAUUAGAUAAAGUAGGUCUUUAUCUUUUUUUGUUGUUUUGAAAGAUACUACCUCUUAGCCUUUACUAUCAUGAAGAAAUGCUGCAGACCACCAUGAACUCUCUUGAUUAUGAAACAGCAAUUCUUAAUAAGAUUCAUUGAGAAAAAUGCAUUUUUACAUUAUAAGAAUAAUUACCAUUUAUGAAGGGCUAAACAUUAGACAUUGUGUUGGACUUCUUUAGCUAAUCUUCAUAAUGAAUGACAAAAUUGAGUCCUAUAGUUCUGUGAGCCUGAGGGUUCUGUGUAGUUCAUGCCACCUUCCUGGGUAGGAACAACCUAUCUGAUCAACGUUAAUAGUUAAGUUGUUUGAAAUGCAGUCUGAGUUUUAAAAAUGGGGCAAAGAGGGGUAUUUUAAAAUUCUCAGGAAGUUUUUCCUUGUAUUAUUUUGCUAAGUUGUUAUGGAGAGACAUUUUUGCCUACAGUGGUAUACUGCUGACCAAAGUUCUAAUGUCCUACUUAGUGGAGUUUCUUAGUCACCUUUAUGAUCUGAUGACUGCUUCCUACCUUUCCCUGAUUAUUUGAGAGUCUUAAAUUAUAUCUGGCCUGAGAAGUGUGUGGCAUCCUCUUGUCUAUUCAACCACUCAGACCUCGCUAAUGCAGGCACCUGUCUAUAAAAGCAACUAGCCCUGCCCUUUUCCAAAGUCUCUGGAUUUCUUCCUUCAGACGCCAUAGACAUUUGCCCUCAUAAUUGCAGUCAUUCCAGGGUGGAAAACUUGUCCCCAAGCUGUUUCAUCAAGUUCUUUUCAGGUAUUUAAGCUGUACCCUAGUUCUGUUUGUCUGUUUUAUUCCCAUUUUCUUGUUAAAAGACUCCCACAUCUUACAACUAUUAUAAGGGACUUCACUACAUACCAUCCUGCUGAUUGGCCUUUGGCCCCCGCAAAUAAUUCCUCCUCUUGAUCUGGACCAAGGGUCCUUCAACCUUAGGGUUGCAGUAAACUAGGUUUGGUGCCGCUGCAGAAUAUCAGUUUUUGUUUUAGUUUAAAUUCACAUUUAAGGCAGAUAGGGAUAAGAAGGGGGGCUUACUGAAUCAACAUUGUCUGGAAAGCAAGCUCUAGCCUAGAUGGGAUGAGGAAUCACAAGUGAACACUGGUCAUGGCCCACAUCUAAAUGAGAAAAUAGCAUCUGAAAGAAGAUGUUAAAAUUUUUUAAAUAAAAACCAGUGAUCUUAUAAAAACAAUGUGUUAGACACCUCGGCCUGGCAUUCUGCCUGAAUCUGCUGAAACAACACUUGCAUCAAAUCCAACAAAUUAACAGCAUGUCCUGAGCUGCUGUUUAAACAGUGUUUAUCAAGUGCCCCCUCUAGCACAGCUGUAAAUCCGCCAAACUGCCUGACCUCCUGGAGUGUCCCCUCGAAUGCAGAGACUCUUACACGUUUUUCCUGAAGCAGUUUGAUUCACUCAGUGGGAAAGGGUUCAUCUUGGCCUGGGGAAUGCCUGGCUCCAAGGGCUUUUCUGUGGUUAUCCAAGCUAGAAACAACCAGAGCAGGGAGAAAGGAUAACAAGUGUCAGGCCCCCAGGGUGACUAGCUACCAGCAACCACCCUCAUGCCCACAUGAUCUCUAGCUGCAUGGCUGUAUUUAUAGGUUGAUGAUCUCUUAGGAGACUAUAUGCCCUAUGACACACACACACACCCGCCCCCGCCCCCACUGCCUAGAUGUUUCCCAGCCAGGGAAGUUGGAAAGAACUUUGCUGAGAUGGGGCUGGGCAUGGUGAAGAGAAGCAAAACUUAAAAGUAUUUCACCUUAUUUCCUGAGCUAUAUUAUUACCUGUCCCUCUUACUCCCUGUGCUCUAAGGCAUUUACACAUAAGCAUCCAUUGUGAUUUUACCCAGACAGUGGAACAUGAAGCAGGCAAUUCUGAGUCAUUGCUUUCCUGCUGGCUAAGCAACCUCUGGUGCAAAACAUUGCAUACGUUUUGUUAGCUGUGUUGGAGGAUUAGGGCUAGCAUACCCUGAAAACUAUCUUACUGAGGGCUGGACAAGGAAUAAGCACCACUGUCAAAUUUUCUAUGUUGUGACUCUCACAGAAGCCAAAUGACCCAAGUGUGAAAGCACACUGGGCAGCAAGUACACCACGUGCUCUGCUGAUGCACCGUAGUGUCAGGACCGCCUGUGCCUGACUUGGCAGUAGUGCCAUAGCAUACGGAGGUGCCAAAUCUGGGCAUGCCAAGGCUCGCUCAGGGAAGGCAGAAAUGCUGCACAAUCCUUUGUCUUCUUAUCUUCCCUCCUCCCACCCCAUUUCUGUAUAGUGCCAUUUUCUUCCCAGAAUAAGGCCCUGGAGAAGCACCUAGAGCUUAUUUAAUCCUUAUGUAGGUGAAACUUUAUAAAGAGGAAGCAGAAUAGAAGGCUGCAUUAGAUAUUCCCUGCCAUGGCUAUUCCACUUGAAACAUCCCUUCUCAUUGUCCAGAACUGCAAGGAGUCUGAAAUUUUACCGUGCUUAUGAGCUACCACAUUUCAUAUAUUCUGGGAGAAUAUAUGAGACCCCUUAGAGACAAAGAGUUUUAUUUCUCACAGUACAAUGGGUAGCAUGAGCUGCAUAAUCACCUCAAUUCCCUUUGCCCUCACGUCCCUCGUGGAGAGUGCAGAGCUUGGCCCAGGUGGACAAGUGAGUUUGUGUCACACACACACACACGCACACACACGAUGAGUUUGUGUCACAGAUAAGAAACUUCGAGCUUAGGAAACACCAGUCUUGUAAAGGGGCUGAUGGCAAGCCUGCUUAACCUUUGCCCCAGAGAAAGACAUUAAAUGUUAUCUUGGUUAAGAAACAAAUUUGUCCUUGAUCUGGGGGGAAGGAUGGAAGGGUAAUGUAUCUGUCAUAUGAUUUUUCUGUAUAGACUCAAAAGGCAGUACAGAACAAAACUGUCAGUCCCUCUUGGUCAGAAGACAUGAGAAACGCAAGAAACCCAUGAAUUCUCUCCCACCACCUGUUGCCCCUUGCAGGUCAAAAAAUCCCACGCAGCCCAGCCGUAGCUGAUUUGACUCAUGGGGGCACCGGGCCCAAGGCCCAUCCAUUCAGAGGCUGAUCAGUGGCCAGGUGCUAAAGGUAAGGCAGGACAACCAGGUUCGCUCACUUAACAUUUUGGAAAGGAGGGAAUUGCCAGUAGGAAAUGGGAGCUGAGGCAAAAAGCUUGUGUAAGGGGUGAUAUUAAAGUUGUAAGUAGCGACGAUCAUGCUGAAGUGAUAGGGAAGCAGAAAGUGAGAGCAACUAGAAACCGAGUGGGAGAAGAUAUGCGAGAGUGGAUUGCAGAGGAAGCCAGCGGCAGUGGAGGGAAGGAAGCUGAGCCUCAUGACUGGUGGAACCCUAGAAAGUGGAAGCAGACACAGCUCCUUACUUUCCAUCACUAUCUGCUCCUCCCACCAAAAUGGGCUUUCUUUAUAGUAACACACAAGCCAUUACUGCAGAGAAUUUGAGUGAGUUUCUUAGUUAAAAAAAAACAAAAACAAAACAGAUUAUAAAGAACAGAAGAGAUGCAGAAAGAUGUUUUCGGACAGUAAACUGGCUAACAUUUAUCAGGUGCAUACUAUUGACCAGGAAUUUAAUACAUGGUUUUAUAUGCAUUAUCUUGGUUAAUCCUAACCAUUUUUAGGCGUAGACUUUUUUUUUCUUUUCUUUUCUUUUUAGGGCCGCACCCGUGGCAUAUGGAGAUUCCCAGACUAGGGAUCUAAUGGGAGCUACAGCUGCCAGCCACAGCCACAGCCACAGCAAUGACCGAUCCGAGCUGCAUCUGCAACCUACACCACAGCUUACAGUAACGCCGUAUCCUUAACCCACUGAGUGAGGCUAGGGAUCAAACCUGCAACCUCAUGGUUCCUAAUUGGAUUCAUUUCCACUGCCCCACAGUGGGGAACUCCUAGGCGUAGACUUUUUAAAAAAUUGAAGUAUAGUUGAUUUACAAUGUUGCGCAGUUUAGACUUAAUCUCUAAAAGGCAUCAAAUGUUAAGUAGCUGCCAAGGAUCACGUAGCUAGUAAGCAGGGGAGUCAGGAUUCUAAUCCAGUGCUCUUACCUGCUUUGUUCUAUUGCUUCCUGCGUAGGUGAGUCAACACUCAAGGUAAGUAUAAAUGAAAUUUCAUCUACCGUACCAAUAGUCCUUGCAGGCUAAGCUGCAAGUUCAGUAGCCUUUAUAACACUCUUUUAGUGGAGAUAAAAACACUAAACAUUUGGACCGAAAAAUACUCAGAAGUUGGUAAUUAUCUUGUUAAUGAUCAAAGAGAAGCCCAAAGAGGCUAAGGUGAGGAGUAUAAACAUAUUAAAUUGACUUAUUCUCCUACCUGAAACCAAAAAAAUGAUCUCAGCAGGUGCAGAAGUUUGUUACUUUCCAAUCCACCUCAGAGAGAAAUCUACCUCCUCCAUUUUUCUCCUGUCAGUCCCUAUAGUAUGCACAGUUCCAGUGGCCAUUAUCCCUGUCUCUAAAUAAGCAAGAACAAUAAUGUGGUCAAAGGAAGCCUGCUGCUUUUCACACUGGUAAGGCCUGGGUAAAAAGCAGAUUGUGAUUGAAUGGGGAUAAAAGUCAAAUCCCUACUGUUCCUCACCCUAAAUCCACUCUACAUGCUCUUGUUCUGUCCUAAUUAGUCUCUGUCCCAGAUAGCUACUACGCCUUUUUGGUUAAUGAAUACCCAUGGCCUCAUCAUCUCCGGUAACUGAUCCCACAGGAGGCUGGGAGAGCCUCAUCCGAGCCACCUGACAGAAGGUGCUUUUCUAUUCAUAGAUUGCUUUGUACUUAGAAUCAAUGAAAAAUUAACAACCAGUUUGUUACCUCACCUAGGAGGCAGUGGCUUGCCCAUAAUUGUACAACCAGAAAAUGUUGGAGCUGGUACUUGAAUGAGGUCUUUUGACUAUGCUAAAAACUAUGCUUCUGCUUUCUUGCCCAGUUUAAUCUUCUUCCUCUGGCGAGUCAGGGCAACAGCUAGGGUUAGAUCAGAAAUACGUAUUUACCUCCAAACCUGCUUUGUGCUUAGAUCUCAGAUGCCAGUGAACAAAGUGGGAAAAUAAUGACGAAUAAGCAGGUCAAGACUUGCUUGUAAAUUCCUGUUUUGAUGCUUCCAUUUGAGGUCAUUUUUAAGUUAGAAAAGGCUUGGGGUGAGGUGGAAAGAGAGAGAAAGAGAACAGAGUGGCAGAGCAGGAAACUAGAAUGAGACAGAAAAUAAGCAAAGUCAGUGGUUCUUAGGCUUCCAGCCCACCAGAGGAAUUUUCCGGUAGGUGUUUGACACACAUGCAGAGCACAAAUGUCAAACUUCUAGGAAUUUUGAAAUUCAAAUGUCAAGAGUUUAAGAAAUUUUAAUAACAUUUCAAAAAUACCUGAGAAAUUAGAACAUAUAGCAGAACACUAUAUACUCAGCAUUUAUCUGCAGUGGAUUUGAUAAUUUAAGAACUAUUAACAUUUUACCAUAUUGACCCGAAAAAAGGCUCAUAUGUAUAUACAGUUCCUUUUCCUCAAAAAAGGGCCAUGGCCCCGGGAAAAUUGUUUUGAUUUCAACCUUCACUACCUGACUCGUUUUUAGAGGCCCUCCUAAAAUCCUAUGGGUCUGCCAGAGUCAAGGAUCGUAAAUAGGUUUUACCUAACUUGUCAACUCUGAUCAGCUGGCUGGAAGAUUCACCCUUGAAUCCAGGCACAGAGAGAGUGUGGCGCAGGAGAGGGAGUUGGGGAAACUGAGAACUGUCCCUCCUCACAGCUCCACCUCACUAAAUCGGCUCUCUGUGCACUGUGGGACGUGCCAGUGUUCAGUCCAGCAGCAAGAAAAGCUUCCCUCCCUGCGGCUGUAAGAGACUGCAUCAUUGUAAUGCUGUGUUCGCAUCACUAAAAACGUUGAGCUGCACUACAUUCUGGGAGACCCCCGUAAUUCGUGCCUUAAAAAAAUGAGUUGUCCUUCUCUGGUUGGACUCCCUCUGCAGAAAAUUCUACCUCUAACCACUGGCCUGAUUUCCAUGUAGUUCCUCCCUGGAAAGUGUGCAGAAGUCCCCAUGGGAAGAAAUCUUUCUUCAGUUCUGAGCAUGGAGGUAAGGUCAUUUCAUUUCUUCUAGACUGGAGGAGCAAGCCUGCCUUUGCUUUUCAGACAGCUUGUUUUGCAGCAGGCCCUUUAUUAUCAUGAAAGUACAGGAUGAAAUUUUGAGCUUUUUAGUGAUAACACUGAUUAAUCAUCCCUUGGAGCCGGUGAUUGCUUCGUGGUCCCAAGGUAGGGAACCUGCUGGGUUAAAAAAAAAAAAAAAUCAUGUUGAAGAGAAUGUUUUGUUUUGUACAUUGAGUAACAGCAUUCUCUGGUGAUCUGUUAAAAUAAGGGAUGUCUGCAAAAAUGAGGAUAAGCAUCGAUGCACCCAAGAAGAUUUUUUUCUUUUCAAAUGGAAAUACAAAUUUAGGGUUGUUAUGUGCACUUUCUUGAACUUGGAAAGAGAGAAACUGAGGCAAUAUUUAUACACUCCUAGUUAGAAGAGAAAACCCUCCAUCCUACUAGUUGCUCCAGAGGUAACAGACAUUAGCCUUUCUUACUCUUCCCUUCGUCUUCCCUCCGUCCCUCCUCUCCUUCCUUUACUUCUUUUUCCUUCAUCAGGCAGAUUGGCUGAGUUUAAAUCCUAAAACCACAGCUGUAUGAGCUGUGAAAUCUGGAGCAGCUUAGUUGACCUCCAUAUGUCUUUUGCUUCAUCUGUACAACAGAGACAGGUGGUGUUUCCCUCCUGAGUUUUGUGGGGUUUUUUUGGUUUUUUUUUUUUUUUAUGAUGAUUGAGUGAGUCAGCGCGUGGAAACUUAAGGGUUCUGUCAGGCAUGUAGUAAGCCUCAGGUGGGAACACUUCUUCUGUACUCCCUGUGUUUCCUUCCAUGGGGUGGGAACUACUCUGCUGAGACACUCCCAGCCUCCCUCCCUCUCACUUGCUGGAUAUUGGCUUAAUCUGAUUAGAAUUAGAGUGAAUGAACUGGCAUGCUGGCCUCAGGCUCUUUUCCUCUCUUGGAAGUAAGUGGUUGCCUCUGCUUUUCCAAGGGAAGCCCUCGUUUGAGACUGACUCUGACCCCACUGUUGUAAUGGCAGCACAAUCAGGCUAAUUCCAGAUUGACUGUUGAGAAGGGUGGCACUGUCCUUAGCAGCAAGCAGGAGUCCUGCGCUAUGGAAUUCCUUCCUCAAGGUGUUCCAAAUCCCCCUCCAGAGCCCAGGAUUGCCUGGACAGGGAUCAGCGUGAGCCUGAGACCUGGCGUCUGCCCUCAGGGUGCCCCCACACGGUCUCCCAUGCAAGUGGAUACAAGGAGAUGCCCCAGGGGUUCCAGGGCUCAUGUCUGUGGGGUCCUUCUGGGGCCCCAUGGCCUGGUUCUUGUUCCAGGAGGAUGGACUGGCCAGGAUCUCUUUCCCCCUAACUGGCAGAGUAUUUCUUUUGUAUGAGUGGGCAAGAUUAGGCCCCUGUAAUCAUGCCGACUGGGAGUACUUCUCACUCCCAUCUCAAACAGAGCAGGUCCAGGUCUUGGCUUGAGCUGCAUGUGUGGGCCUGUGUUACUGAAGUGUGGGCACAGUGACACUCAAGGUGGGGCCAGCAGGUGUCCUUUACCCUGUUCUGUGCCCACCACUGGCUCCUAGGGCAGUCACCCACCCCAGCAGGUGGUCUCUAGGGUGGCUGUGCCAUCUCUUCUGAGGACACCUGAGACCAUUGUCUGGCUACACCAGUGGGCCCUUCCCAUCCGUGUCCUUUCCUGACUUCAGUUCUGGUGACAUCAUGCUCUCACAGGAUGGUCUUAAACUGCUGGAUGAGGGAAUCAGGUUUCUUGUGUAAAAGAAACUAUUCUCUGAUGAUAUGUGGAAGACACGGGUGUGGUCCAUAUGGAGAGAUCACAUUCCAGCCUAAAGAGUUCAAGAGAGGAUAUAGCUGGAAGAUACAUUGUUCUAUUAAUGCCAUGAAAUAAAGCAGAGUACAUUUAACAUAUCUGGAAAAUGAAUUAUUGUUCACAUUUUCCUGCCUAUUCUGGAUAAGACUUGAAUAUAUGGUCAUGAUCAGUGAAGCACGAUAACAACCUUCAAUGAAGUCACUGGAAGCUGCUAUUCACAGACCACACUUUGAAUGAUACAGCAGCAGCAAGAGUAAUAAUGUAACAGCAUCAAAUAAAUGGAAGUCUGAACUUGCAGAGGCAAGAAGACCUAUAUUGUUUUACUACAAAGAGGUUCUGAAAGCCAUGGCACCAUGAGUAAUAACGCUAUUGCUAUCACUUCCUCCCUGCAGGAGAUAUGAAAUUAGCCAGGAAUGUUGUGUAUGACAGUAAAGAACAUGAAUAAGUGGUUCCCGAACCUGGACAGAAAGAAAUGGUGCUACAUAGUAUGAAAAAUCUUCACAUGCACUGAUAGGAUCAUAAACAAAUAGUCAACAGAGUCACUCAGAAGAUAAUGAGUAACUUCAAAGAAAGAAACAGUUAAUCAGCUCCAACACCUAGGACUGCAAAGAACCCUCAAAGAAGAUAAAACAGUGAUAUGUUCACUGGAGAAGGAGGCAUCCAAUUCUAGGGCACUGAGGAUGCCAAACUUUAGGAAAACAUCACAACUCAUGUAAAUGGUACAUGGAACAGACUUGUCUCAUAGAAAUGGCUCAUUGUAUUUAAAUUUUUUUAAUUUUGGUUUCCAUUUCAAUUGAUAUGCAAGGGCCAACUCCUUCCCUGGACCUAGGCAUCACAUGAGUUACCUGUUCACUCUCAUGUCAUUCAAAUCCUCCAGGUAUUCUAAAUUUCAGUGCAGUCUUAAUAUAGAAACUAUAAGCCCAGUCCCUGUAAUAAUCAAAACUACGAAUCUGAUUUAAAAUUGAGGCAUUUCCCCACACCAGGCUUGGGCCAGCAGCUCCAAGGAGAAUGCAGAAUCGGGCCAUGGCUGGCUUCUCUGUUCGCUCAAAGCGCUCUUCUAUCCACCCCCCUCUCAGGUAGGGAAAGGUCUUACCUGUGCAGCACUGUUAUGCAUGUCACCCUCUGACACAUAGUCUUACAUCUGUUAUUUCCGCCUCUCUCAUGGGGGCUACAGACCCUCCCUUCUCGACCCCUUUGCCUCGUACUGUCCCUUGAAGUCUCCUUGACUUGGGUGAUUUACUCUAAGGAUUUAAACCUCCGUGGUUCACCUGCAGCUUCUUUAUCCCAAGGGAACUUUGCACUUCUGGGUGGCCCUCUUGAAUAGGGCAGAAAGUUGCCUCUGCCCAUAACUCACAGUUGGUCCAUGGUGAGCCUGGCCCCUCAGCCCUGAUAGCUGCUGUGGGGUUGGGGUUAGGCUUUUCCUCUCUAGCUGCCCCUCACCCUUCCUUCCACUAGCAGAGCAGCUGUAUUUUGCCCUUUAAAUUUAAUAGCCAGAGUCAGAUGCCAGUGCUCUUCGAUCCCCAACCCCUCAAACUGCAGGGGCAAAGUGUUACCCUCUCUGAUGAAAGCCCAGCUCCCUUGCCUUCAGUAGAACAGGAAGGGGGAAGCAGCCACUAUCCUUGGCUUCUGGGGUGGAGCUGGGACUCAGAAGCUUCCUUCAGAUCUAGCCUCCUACAACGUGCUUCAAUUCUCACCCUUUUAUACCAUCAAAGGGAGCGAGGGCUUUCACCCACUGACCAGUUCAUAUUUGUAUGAUCAUCUAAACUCUUACUUUCUCUAUGCUUUGAAAAAAAUUUUGAAAUAGCCACAAGGAAAAAAAACAAUGAGCAUACCUCAAGGAAAUGACAGCCAGCUACAUUCAUAUCAUUUCUACUUUUUUCAGACAGCCUAAUUUUUUUUUCUUUUUUCCUUUUUUUUUCUUUCUUUUUUUUUUUUUUUUUUUGUGUGUGUUUUGGACCCAAUUCCUUGAAAGAGUUGGCUGGUCUUGGGUCCUUAUUUUAACCUAAAAUUGUAAAAUUUAAAUAAUCUAUCUAGAAGGCUAAAGCUAAAGCUAUUUAUUAUUUAUGUUUAUAUAUUAUCUCAUUUUAACAAAUGAUUUACAUUGGCAAAAAAAAGAAAGAAGGAGGGAAGGAAAGAAAGAAGGAAGAAAGGAAAGAAAGAAACCCUAAUUCACAAUUGUGUGAAUUUUCUUUCCAGGUAUGGAUAAUACUUCUAUGCUCUAAUAUUUGAUUUUUAGAGUUUUUAUGCAUGUUUGGUGAAACUACCAAGUUUGUAAUAAUCAUAAACUUUAUGACUAGAAGAAUUAUUCUUGUUUCAAAAUAAAUUGAAUGUAAGACAACCCAAUGAUCUUUCUGCUAGUGAGUAAUUGUUUAUGGUCUGUUAGAACUCACAAAUAUGAACUAGUCAGUGGGUGAAGACAAAGUGGCUUAUGUUUAUAUUGGGAAAAGUUAACAAAACAGCUCAAAAUCAUCAGCAAUUUACUGUUGCUAAUAUGCAACUAAUAAACUACAUUUUGUAGAGAAAGAUUGCUGGGUUAGGAGCAAGAAAAUAUAUUUGUGUUACUUUGUAGCCUGGAGAGGAAGCAGUGAAUAAGACCCAGGAUUUGGAAUCAAGAUGCUUGGCUUUGAAUCCUGCCUCUGCUAUUUAGCUAUGUGACCUUGGGCAAGUUAAGCACUCUCUCCUUCCUCAAUUUCCCCAUCUUUAAAAUGGACGUUAUAACAAUGAUGUAGCAGUCAAGGUUCAACCAGAGACACAAAACCAGUAAGAUAUAUAUAUUUUUUACAUGAAAUUGGCCUUACACAAUUGUGGGGCUUGCUAAGCAAUUCCAGAAUUCAUAGGACACAAGCCAAAGCAGUGAAAUUUCUUCCCCUCCCCCAACAACCCUCACCCUCCUCAGACCAUGAAAGUCUUUGCUUUUAAACCCACCCAGAUUAUCCAGGACAAUCCCCUUUACUUAAAACCAAUUGAUUAUAGACUUUAAAUCUAUGAUUAUAGACUUUAAUUAAAUUUUCAUAGCAACAUAGAUUAGCAUUUGAUUGUAUAAUGGCUGAUUGUAGCCUAGUCAGGCUGACACACCACAAGUACCUACAUCACAGGUUGUUGUAAAGCCAAAGAGAUAGCUCUACAUCAGUGUCUGGCAUACGCUAAAUACUCAAGUGUUCAUAAAUAUUAUUUACCAGCUCUGUGGCUUCGAGCAAAUCAUGUAAUUUAUCUGAUCCUUGAUUUCUGCAUGGAUAAAAUAAAAGUAUGGGUGAAA